GCAACCUUAGUGCGGACAAAAGUUGUAAUAGUAGGGAAAAAAUGGAGAGAAGGAACAACAGGGAAGAAGAAGAAAGAGUAGUUGCUGGAACAACUUUGACAAGAAAAAGUGAGAAAAGAUAAGCUUUUGAUAUUACUAUUUACAAUCAAGAAAGAAGGGAGAAUUGAAACCGUAUUGUAGCUUCAAGCGAAACAAUUCUUCGGCACAAAAAGGUCAAUUUCCCCUUUCUUUGAUUCUUCUUCAAUUUUACGGUGGAUUUCUUUAAAUCCCGAUUUAUGUAUUUGUAGGAUUCCAUCGGGUAUUGAAUAUUUAAUUUUUUUUUAAAAAUAUUAUGGACAACAAUUCUAUUUAUGUUUCAACUUAUAUGCAUGACUACAAAAAUUGAAUAGUACAAGGUAUAAACUGUAUAAAUAAUUUUUUUAAUAUAAAACUUUAGACUAAUUUAAAUUACUCAUACCAUGGGUAAAUAUAAUUAGACAAAUUGAUGAUAAAACAUAAAACUCCAAGGAUAGGGUAUUCUAUAUCAGUGAUGAAUUAGCCUAAAUGAGGCAAUUGACACGAGAUUAAUAUUAUGUGAUUAUAGAUUCAUUGGAGGAAGUUGUACGUUUGCUCGAGGUGAAGCAUUUGGUAUUUCAUCACGAGUACUGUUAGUAGUAAUCUUACCAUAAUUUGUGUUGUUGUGCGACUGCUCGAGAUGAAGCAUUUGGUAUUUCGGCAUGAAUACAGUGAGUAGUAAUCUUACCACAAUUUGUGUAUUCAUAACCUGCAUGGUUUAUAUGUUAUUUUGAAAAUAAACAUAUUAGCGAUGCUUUAAAAUUUGCAUGUGGGACAAAUCCUUUAUUUGAUAUGAUACCAAGUAGUUUACUUGAGAUGUUACCGAAUAAUCUAAAUGUUUUCACCGUUACUAGAUAUGUUUUACCGUUACUUGAGAUGUUACAGUUAUUUGAAUUAUUUUCACUAUUACUAGACAUGUUUUACUAUUACUUGAGAUAUGAUGACUAUCACCUAAAAAUAAAAAUACAAGAUUAGAUAAGGAAUGAUAUGCCCUUUAUUAUUUUUAUAAUACUUUUGUACGAGUAUUUACUAUUUACAAGAAAGAGUAUAAAUGGGAGGAGACUUUGAAGGAUCCCGUAGCUAAUGGCGAGUUCGUUAGACCUGGUACACCUUGUAUUUAAUUACCGAUUACGGUUAUAGCCCUCGCUAGUGGGAAGGUAGAACAAGCAUACAAUUAUAGUUUUCCCUCGAGUAGGGACCUACAAGUUAUAUUUGGCUCUUUUACGAAGGGGCUGACAUAGUGAUACAAAUUACAUGAUCCUUUCUUGGAAACCUCCCAAAUAUAAAUAUUUGCUAUGAAACAGUGUCUACGUAUUUUUUAUCGAUUUUUUAACUUGAUUUCUGUCACAGGAAGUACAUGAAUAGACUUAUUAUAUUUACUGUUUCUAACAGGGCAUUUUAUUUUUAUGAUAGUUCCUAUUAUUAUUAUACAUGCAUGUUUACUGACUUGUCCCCAGUUAAAAACUGUUGUGGUGACGUGUUAUUACUCACUGAGCUAGCGACUUACUCUCCGCUAAUUUUUAAUAGAGACAACAGUUAAUGCAGAUAAGAAUUUUGUUAAUCAGAUCGCACAUGUUGAUAUUUCUCGGUGAGCCUCGCACUUGUUCGCGUGGGCAAAGAUUUUAUUUAUUGUUGUGGUCUUUUCAUUGAACUCUUAGAGUCGCUCCAUAGUCAUUUUUUUAAUGUCAUGAGUAUUCUUUUAUUUUUAUAGUCGUAAUGUUGAGUAUCGUUCUCAUUUAUCAAAGUUGGAGAUAAAUUAGUAUUUCUGGUGGUUAGUUGGUGGUUUAGUUAUGGUGGAGACUUGUUUUGGUUAAUUGAUAAGUUGUCGAUUGGUUGGUUUGAUAUUAUGAUGGUUUGUUGUUGAUCAUGAAACAGGAAAGCUUUUUUGGGAUACUCCAAAAACAGAGAAAACGCUGUCCGUUUUUAUGUAAAAUACCGAUGAGGCUUACUUGGGGGCACUUGCUCCUAAGCGCCGGUCACGAUCUAAAUUGGGUCGUAACAAAGUUGGCAUCAAUGCUUAGGUUAUUUUUGUGACUAAUGGAGUAUACGUCGGUAGUAGAAUCUCAAUUAUGGUUAUGUAGCCGGCCACUCCCAUAAUCGUGAUUCUGCGAGAGCGUGAUAGGAUGUGUCUUAUCUUUCUUUCUCAUUCUUCCGUAUGUGUUUGGUGAAUCUGUCAUUGUUAUCAUUUUCUUGUAUGACAUGGAUCAACCUGAUAAUAGAAUUUGACUAGAGGUUCAAGGACAUCAAAUUUUUCCACUAGGCGGGCGGUCUCCCUGUAAAGAAAAGCAACAUAAGUAGUAGACUAGGCCAAUAAAAGGGCCGCUGUUCCAUGAUGAGAGUCUUGCCUCUAAGAUGGGUAAUAUAGUCUAUACCUAAAGUUAGUAUGUGUUCACUAUUAUACUAAUAGUACAGUGGCAUCACAAAGGUUCUUACCUUGAAGGAAGGGGAAAUUGAGAUCUCGAUGGAUACAAUUUAUAGACAAGGGAAGAAUGGGAACAAAGGGCUCUAGAGCCCUCAAAUAUCUAGUUUAGGUCUUCCACUGAGAUAAUUUCUAAAAUUGAAACCACAAAGUUUACCAUUUUUGUUAAUGGUGAGGAUCCUCAGAGGUUCUUGUCGAUGUGGAAAUACUUGAAGCAUUAUGAGCUCUAAGAUAUUAAAACAAGAAGUCUGUGGAGCUAGCAACUUGCACAUUGGACAAUAUCACCAAUACAUGGUAUAAUGUACUGUUAAGAACACAAAUAGGACUGCACAAAUUAUUUGAAAACGAGUUUACAAAAUUUUUUUGAAAAGUCAUACUAGUUAAGAGAGGUUUCAAAGAUAAAAGGUACUAACAUAUAAUACCAAAUUUCUCAAUUAGAUAGGCACAUAUCAUCUCAUAUUUAAAGACUAACAUAAAGAAAUGCUUCACCUCCUAGACAUGGUUGUAACCCCAUAUAUGGAUAAUAUGACCUAUUUUAUUGUAGUUAAGGGUAUUAGAAAUAUUGAAAACAUGAACAAGAUAGGCAUAGAACAAAAGUUUGAUGGGAGAAGAACAAGACUUGAUUUUUUCCGAAGCGCAUUUAAAUGAUCGUCGAAAAAUUUUGGCAUGUGAGAUAUUGACAUGAUCCUUUUGACUUGUUGCUUAUGUGGGAGAAUCUGAGUUAAUUAAAUAUGUUCAACAAGCUUGUAUUAAAAUUGAGUAUAGAAAUAUUGUAGUUGACUUGAUAUUACUUAAUAUGGUCUAUCAUAUUGAAGGGUACAUACUUAUUAUCUUUGUCACGACCUGAAUUUUUCCAUCAUCGGGAGUCGUGAUGGCGCCUACUGUCAAAGCUAGGCAAGGCAACCUUUUUUAAUCAUUUUCACAAAAACCUUAAAACAAUAUAAAUACUGAAAUAAUUAAAAACCACGCGGAAGACUUUUAGCAACAAUAGCAAUGAUAAACUGCGGAAACUAGUAACAUGGUUCUACCUAGUAUCUGGUGUCACUACUCACGUACGCCAACGGUCUGAAAGAAAUACAUAACAUGUCUAUUUUGAUACAAUAAAAACAAAUUGGAAGAGAUAGAGGAUACUCAGGGCUCGCGCACGCCAGUGAAAUACCUCAUAGUCUCUAGACUGAAGGAUUGCUCCCUAACUACUGCUGCUGUCCGUAAGCUGUGUCCUGGCCUGUGCACAAAAAGGCACAGAAGUGUAGUAUCAGCACAACUGACCCCAUGUGCUGGUAAGUGCCCGGCCUAAAUGGAGAGGUAGUGACGAGGCUAAAUCGAACCUACCACAAUAAACCUGUACGGAUAUAUGUGCAAUAACAGAAAGAGAACAAGAAUUUAAAAAGAAAAUGGGGAGGGGACAUCCUGGGGGUGUAACAAUUCAAUUGUAACUUCAACAAACAAGAAAUGGAACUGAAUAUAUAACAAUAACUAGAAAAAGCCAGUGAAUCAACAACUGUACGACACCACCCUUCAUGCUUUUACUCUCAUUUCUCACCAAAACUAUCAAAUAUAAUGCACGGUAUUACCCUUCGUGCUUUUACUCUCAUUUCUCACCAAGACUGUCAAAUAAAAUGCAUGGCAUCACCAUUCGUGCUUUUACUCUCAAUACACAGUGCACAACAUCACCCUUCGUGCUUUUACUCUCAAUACAUAAUGCACGACAUCACUCUUCGUGCUUUUACUCUUAAUACAUAAUGCACGGCAUCACCCUUCAUGCUUUUACUUUCUCUUCAUCACCCAAUCAAUGGUCAUAACGUAAUGGGAAAGGAAUAUAUAACAAGAAAAAAUAUCCCGGCAAGGGAGAAUAACUCAACAAUAAAUCCCGGCAAGGGAAAACAACUCAACAAUAAGUCCCGGCAAGGGAAGUAGUACCAAAACUUCCUCGUUAGUUCAUUUGCUUCUCAAAUAUCACUUCAUAGUUCAUUUAACAAGUAAUUAUCACAAUUAUUCACUUCUUUCGAAAUUUUAAUAGCAAUUAUGACUCACGAUAAUACUAGACUCGGGCGCAUAGGUAACCGUCACCAUACCUAUACACCGACUCCACAUAGCACAUAGCAAAUAUUAACCUAAUCCUAUUCCCUCAAGCCAAAGUUAGAUAAAAAAUUUACCUCGAAUCUAGAGAUAGAAACUUAAAGCUCAACAAUCGCCUUUCCUCUAUAAUUCGACCCCGGACCAACGAUAUCUAUUCACAAUUUACUCCAAUGUAUCAACAAAUGCUAGUUAAAUCAAUUUGAAUGCAUAAGAAUGAAAUUCCCAAAGUUUNNNNNNNNNNNNNNNNNNNNNNNNNNNNNNNNNNNNNNNNNNNNNNNNNNNNNNNNNNNNNNNNNNNNNNNNNNNNNNNNNNNNNNAAAUUCCCAAAGUUUUCCCCAAAAAUUUCAAAAAUUCCUCGAGCCCACAUGGUCUAAACUCGAGGUUCAAACCAAAAUAGGGAUACACAUUCCCCACGAGUUCAUAUAUGCAGUUUGUUUUGAAAUCGGACCCCAAAUUUAGGACCAAAUCCUCAAUUUUAUGAAAACCUAGGCUCUACCCCAAAUCCCUAUUUUUACCCAUUGAAAGCUUUGAUUUUAAGUUGAAAUCAUGACAAAAGAUGUUAAAGUUUGAAGAAAUUGAGUAAAAGUUGAUUUACAAGUGAUUUGGGAGAGAAAGAGACGAGAGAAAAUCUCCAACGGAUGUUUGGGUUUUGAAAAUAUGAAAAAUAAAGUUUGAAAUCAUCUAAGUAUAGGUUGCACAGUCGCAGAUGUCGCAAUUGCGAGGUUUUGUUCGCAAUUGCGAAGAAUGCAGAAAAUAACGAAUGUCGCAAUUGCGAGAAAUAAAUCGCAAUUGCGAAGAAGGCAAAAGUGAACGGACUUCGCAUUUGCGAAGAUUGGGCUGCAAGAUGUCGCAAUUGCGAGAAAUUAAUCGCAAUUGCGAAGAGAGAAAAUUUGAACGGGCUUUGCAUUUGCGAGAAUGAAUUCGCAUUUGUGAAGACAUGCUAUCAGGAGGGAAUCACAUUUGCGAGAAAUGGUUUGCAUUUGCGGAGUCUAGCCAUAAAAGGGAGGGAUCGCAUUUGCAAGUUUUCCUUGCAUUUGCGAUGAAGCAUGCCAUAGGGGAAGGCUCGCAUUUGCGAAGAAAAUCUUCACAAAUGCAAAGACUGCAUAUACCAGCAGUUAAAAUGCUUCAAAAUGCGCCUAACACUAAUCCAAAACUCACUUGAGCCCACGGGGCUCCAAUCCAAAUAUGCAUCCAACAUCAAAAACAUCCUACGGACUUACUCGUGCGAUAAAUCGCCAAAAUAAUAUCCAAAUCCAAGAAUCAACCUCCAAAACUCAUGAUUUUCAUUUCAAAGUUCAAAACUUUCAAAUAUUACAUUUUUAGUCCGAAACACGUCAAACGACGUCCAUUUUGAACCAAACUUUACAGAUAAUGCUUAAUGCUCAUUUAAGACUUGUACCGUGGGUCAGAACCAAAAUACAGCCCGGUACCAUCACUUUUGAUCAAUUUUUUGUUUUCAUUUUUCCUUAAGGAAUUUAAGAAAAUAAUUUAAUAGAAAAGUUCCGUACUCUGGCCUGGGAUCUCGGAUUUCAAUUCCGGGAAUAUGCCCGGGUCCCAAAUUUCGCUACGGACCUUCCGGGAUCAUCACAUCACGGGUCCGGGUCCGUUUAUCCAAAAUAUUGACCAAUGUCAACUAUAGCAAUAUUAUUAUAAAAAAUCAUAGCUUUUAACACAAAAUUCAAAUAUUUCCACAUAAAAAAUUUUCAACUUCGCACUCGGAUUGCGCACGCAAAUCGCUGAAACCAAGUAAGAGGUUAUUAAGGUCUCAGAAGCACAAAGGAAGGGAGAAUUAUGGUGAUAACCCUUUGGGUCGUCAUAAUCUUCCUGCCAGCUCUCCUCACUUGUUAGGAAAGAUAAUUAAAUUUGAGAUAUUGAACUAACCCUAUUUUAUUCUAAAAAGGGGUCAAGUUCCAAUGAUUGGUAAAGUUAUCUCUUUUAUGAAAAAUCAACGAUUACUAAAGAAAGAUAUUUUUGGUCUCUUGGCAAUGAUAAGGGACACAAGAGAGGAAACACUUUGUUUUGAAAAAGUACUCAUGGUGAGAAUCCUCCAAUAUAUUUCCUCGAGAAUUUACCAAGACUAUUGCCAAUAGAAGAAACAAAUUUUGGUGUUGAUUUAGUACCUGACAUGCAUCACAUAGUGAUACCCCCAUAUAGUGUGAUACAAGUAGAAUUGCUAGAGGUAAAAGAACAAUUACGAGAUUUAUUAGAUAAGAGUUUUUUUUUAAAUCGAGCUUAUUGCCAAUGGGUGCACCGAUAUUAUUUGUACAGGAGAAGAAAAACUGACUCCAUACAAUGUGCAUUGACUGCAAAUACCAAAUAAGAUAAUAACACAUAAUAAAUACCCAUAAUUUCAUAUAGAAGACCUAUUUAAUUAGUAAUAAUGAGCUUCUCACUUGGUAAGAUUGCGCGUUGCUUCUGGUUAUUAUCAACUUAGAAAUGGAAAGGAAGAUAUUCCUAAGAAAAACUUCAGGACUCGCCACUGUAUUAUGCAUUCUUACGAUGCUUCAGACUGACAAAUUUUCCUGCCGCACUCAUGGACUUAAUGAACAUGGUGUUCAAAUUAUUUCUGGAGAGACAGGUCGAUGUAUUUAUAGAUAAUAUUUUAGUAUGUUCUAAUACCUAAGAAGAAUAUAAGGAUCAUUUGAGAAUGGUGUUGCAACCGCAGAAAUUGGCAUAUUGUUAAGUUGUCAAAAAUAUUUUUUGCUAGACUUUGUAGUAUUCCUCAAGCAUGUUGAAUCAAGGAAUGAGAUUAUGAUGGAUCCUAAGGAGACAAGCAUUUCAAUAGUAUCCAAGACACACUCUUCCUAUAGAGCAUCAUAACUUCUUGGGUUAGGUAGGCUAUUUUAGGAGUUUGUGCAUGAUUUGUCUAAAAAAAAAAAAUCUUCUCUACCCAAGCUAGCAUAGAAGAACCCCAAAGUUUCAGCAGGCAAAGAAAAGUAUAUAGAUGCUUUCAUAAGCUUAAGACAUAUUUGAUAGACACACAAAUGUAAGCAUUACCACUAGAUUUCAGAGAUAUUUGAAUAUUUGAUAAAGAUGGUGACUGGAACUACUCAAGGACUACAAUUGUAUGCAUUGAGAAAAAUAUUCAUGGGUAGUUUGAUAUAUAUAUAUAUAUAUANNNNNNNNNNNNNNNNNNNNNNNNNNNNNNNNNNNNNNNNNNNNNNNNNNNNNNNNUAUAUAUAUAUAUAUAUAUAUAUAUAUAUAUAUAACUCUAGCAAAGAGACUUUUCAAAAAAAAAUGCACAUACUAGAAGGUGCAAGUAAUAUAUUUAUUAUGAAAAAUUCAGAGGCAUUAUUGGCUGAUAUUCAAUCCAAGUUUUUAUUAUUUUUGCACUUAUAAGGCUACUCAAUACGAGGAUGAGCGAUUGCUCUAAGUACAUGAGACUAGGCUCUGACUGGUGCAAGAAUAUGACUUUUAAUAGUUAUGGUAUUUUUUCGACUAGAUAAUCAACUAAUAGCAGCAAACAUAUACGGGUUGAGAUAGGCUAUAUGUAAUAAGAUCACAACUCUAGAUACACUAUAUAUUCAGGUCCAUAAGAUGCAUCAUGACUAGAAGAAAAUUGGAUUGGUUGGAAAAGAAAGAAGAAAGAAUUCAUUAACUUUGUUUAUGACUAUUUGAUAGCCAGCAUGUUAACACAAACACUUGCUACUCGUAGGCCCACUACAAUAACUCAAGUUUUGAACUGGAAAUAUAAUAGAAUUAUAACUACCUUAUAUGAACGAAUUACCCAAACUAUUAGAGGCAUGAUUAUGUAUGGGAAAACCGUAAAUUGGCUUAUAAAGCGAGCACAUUUGUUUCUAGUCAAAAUGCCAUAUAGUGAGGAAAAAUAUGCAUUGAUAUACAUGGAUAGAAAAUACUCCAACACAAUAGGUUCUAUUGUCUAUCAUCUAUGAUAGAAAAUCUUUUCAAGUUGUGUUGGCUAUACGAGUAUAUCUUAGUAUCGACUUUUAUUCACAUACAAGAGGACAAUCUGAAUGUAUUAUACAGAUCUUGAAGGAUAUGUUAAAAAAUUACAUUCUUGAGUUUGGAGGUAGUUGGAAUACCUAUCUAUCUUUAGUUGAAUUUGCUUAUAAUAAUAAUUUUCAGUCCAUCAUACAGAUGCCACCAUACGAAGUAUUGUAUAGUAGGAGAUAUUAUUUUCCUAUCGGAUAGUUUGAAGCUGGUAAGACUAACUUAUUAGGACCCGACCUAGUACAAGAAGCUAUGGACAAAGUCCAUUUGAUCAGAGAGAGAUUUCUUUAAUCUCAAAGAAGACAAAAGUCUUAUGAUGAAAGAGAAGAAGAGAUUUAGUGUUCACAAUUAGAGACAAAGUGUUCCUACGAAUCUCACCUAUGAAAGGUGCAAUGCGAUUUGGGAAAAAGGCAAGUUGAGCCCCAGGUUUAUAGGACCGUAUGCGACACAAGACCGAGUGGGAGCAAUGGCUUAUCGUUUGGUUAUUCCUCCUGAGUUGUCCUUUAUUCACCUAUUUUUUCAUGUCUCUAUGCUUAUAAAUUGUAUAUCAGACUCCUCUCAAAUGCUUGAGACACAAACUAUAUCGCUUGAUGAGAAGUUGUCUUAUAAGGAGGAGCCUAUGACUAUUAUUGAUUGACACAUAAGAAACAUAGUCACAAGAAAUUGUGAUCAUUAAAAUUUUAGGGGAGAAAUCAUACAGUUGAAGAAGCUACAUGGAAAGUGAAAAAUGAUAUGCGAGUCAAAUAUCCUCAUUUAUUUCUACAGGUACAUAGUUAAGUUAAAUUCGGGGAUCGAAUUUCAUAAGGUGGGAAGAAUGUAAUACCUUCAAUUAAAAAUAAUAAUAAUAAUAAUAGUAAGGAUAGUAAGUAAUUUGCCAAAAAAAAGAGAACAGACUAAUUAAAGGAAAAAGAAUUUUUUUUAAAAAAAGAAGAAGAGCUAAUUAGCUUAUAGCCAACAAAAGUGGCGUAACUGAAACCAAAAAGGAGAUUUGAGUCCUUAGCCUUGUAGGAUUUUAAAAAAAAGAUUUGAAGGGGAACAGGGAAACGCAGCCUUACUGCAGCUAAAACAAAAGUUGUAACAGUGGGAAAACAACGCAGAGGAACAACAGGGAAGAAGAAGAAGAAAGAGUAAUUGCUUGAACAACUUUGACAAGCAAAAGUGCAAAAAGAUAAGCUUUUGACAUUACUAUUUACAAUCAAGAAAGAAGGAGAAUUGAAAUUGUAGUGCAGCUUCAAGCGAAACAAUUCUUCGGAACAAAAGGUCAAUUUUCCCCUUUCUUUGAUUCUUCUUCAAUUUGCUGGUGGAUUUCUUUAAAUCCCGAUUUAUGUAUUUAUAGGAUUCCAUCGGGUAUUAAAAUUUAAAUUAAAAAACAUAUUAUGGACAACAGUUCUAUUUAAGUUUCAACUUAUAUGCAUGACUACGAAAAUUGAAUAAUACAAGGAAUAAACUAUAUAAAUAAUUUUUUUUAAUAGAAAAAUUUGGACUAAUUUAAAUUACUCAUGCCAUGAGUAAAUAUAAUUUAACAAAUAGAUGAUAAAACAUAAAAAUCUAAGGAUUGGGUAUUCUGAAUCAGUGAUGAAUUAGCCUAAAUGAGGCAAUUGACACGAGAUUAAUAUUAUGUGAUUAUAGAUUCAUUGGAGGAAGUUGUACGUUUGCUCGAGGUGAAGCAUUUGGUAUUUCAUCACGAGUACUGUUAGUAGUAAUCUUACCAUAAUUUGUGUUUUUAUAUUGUACGUAUGCUCGAGGUGAAGCAUUUGGUAUUUUGGCACGAGUACAGUAAGUAGUAAUAUUACCACAAUUUGUAUUUUCAUAAGCUGCAUAGUUUAUAUAUAAUUUUGAAAAUAAACGUAUUACACAUGCUUUAAAAUUUGCAUGUGGGACAAGACCUUUACUUGAUAUGAUACCGAAUAGUUUACUUGAGAUAUUUACCAAAUAAUCUAAAUAUUUUAACUGUUACUAUAUAUGUUUUACCGUUACUUGAGAUGUUAUAGUUAUUUGAAUUGUUCUCACUAUUAUUAGAUAUAUUUUACUGUUGCUUGAGACAUGAUGACUAUUACCGGAAAUAAAUUACAAGAUUUGAUAAGGAAUGGUAUGCCCUUUAUUAUUUUAAAAAUGCUUUUGUACGAGUAUUUACUAUUUACAAGAAAGAGUAUAAAUGGGAGGAGACUUUGAAGGAUCCCGUAGCUAGCGGCGGGUUCGUUAAAUCUGGUGCACCUUGUAUUUACAGAUUACCGAUUACCGAUUACAGUUAUAGCCCUCGUUAGUGGGAAGGUAGAACUAGCAUAAAGUUAUAGUUUUCCCUCGAGUAGGGACCUACAAGUUAUAUUUGGCUCUUUUACGAAGGGACCCACACAGUGAUACAGAUUACAUGAUCCUUUUUUUGGAAACCUCCCAAGCAUAAAUAUUUGCUAUGAGACAGUGUCUACCGUAUUUAUUAUCGACUUGUUAACUUAAUUCCUGUCACAGAAAAUACAUAAAUAGACUGAUUAUAUUUACUGUUUUUAGAGGGCAUUUUAUUUUUAUGAUAUUUCCUAAUUAUUAUUAUACAUGCAUGUUUUCUGACUUGUCCCCAGUUAAAAAUGGUUGUGGUUAAGUGUAAUUACUCACUGAGCUAGUGACUCACUCUUCGCUAAUUUUUUUACAGAGACAGCAGUUAACGCAGAUGAGAAUUUCCUUAAUUAGAGCGCACAUAUUGAUAUUUCUCGGUGAGCCUCGCACUUGUUCGCGUGGGCAAAGAUUUUAUUUAUUAUUAUGGUCUUUUCAUUGAACUCUUAAAGUCGCUCCAUAAUUAAUUUUUUAGUGUCGUGAGUAUUCUUUUGUAAUUAUAGUCGUAAUGUUGAGUAUCGUUCUCAUUUAUCAAAGUUAGAGAUAAAUUAGUGUUUUUGGUAGUUAGUUGGUGAUUUAGUUAUGGUGGAGACUUGUUUUGGUU
rnacentral:lncRNA from 1 species